rnacentral:rRNA from 1 species
UACAGAGGGUGCAAGCGUUAAUCGGAAUUACUGGGCGUAAAGCGUGCGCAGACGGUUGCGUAAGUCAGAUGUGAAAGCCCCGGGCUCAACCUGGGAAUUGCAUUUGAGACUGCGUAGCUAGGGUGCGGAAGAGGGAAGCGGAAUUUCCGGUGGUAGCGGUGAAAUGCGUAGAUAUCGGAAGGAACACCAUGUGGCGAAAGCGG